rnacentral:rRNA from 1 species
UACAGAGGUCUCAACCGUUGUUCGGAUUCAUUGGGCGUAAAGGGUGCGUAGGCGGUCGCGCAAGUCGGAUGUGAAAUCUCAGGGCUCAACCCUGAAACUGCAUUCGAUACUGCGUGGCUAGAGUGCUGGAGAGGAGACUGGAAUUUACGGUGUAGCAGUGAAAUGCGUAGAUAUCGUAAGGAAGACCAGUGGCGAAGGCGGCUACCUGGACCAGCACUGACACUGAGGCACGAAAGCGUGGGGGAGCAAACAGGG